rnacentral:rRNA from 1 species
CCCUUAGAUGUUCUGGGCCGCACGCGCGCUACACUGAUGCAUUCAACGAGUUUCUUCCUGGUCCGAGAGGAAUGGGUAACCUUUUGAAAGUGCAUCGUGAUAGGGAUAGACUAUUGCAAUUAUUGGUCUUCAACGAGGAAUUCCUAGUAGACGUAGUUCAUCAGACUGCAUCGAUUACGUCCCUGCCCUUUGUACACACCGCCCGUCGCGCCUACCGAUUGAAUGCUCAGGUGAGCCAUUCGGACUUUCAUCAUGCUGGUUUCCAGUUUUGAUGAAGGAAAGUCUUGCGAACCUUAUCAUUUAGAGGAAGGAGAAGUCGUAACA